rnacentral:misc_RNA from 1 species
GAUGAAGAACGUAGCGAAAUGCGAUAAGUAGUGUGAAUUGCAGAAUUCAGUGAAUCAUCGAAUCUUUGAACGCACAUUGCGCCCCUUGGUAUCCCGAGGGGCAUGCCUGUUCGAGCGUCAUUUCACCACUCAAGCCUGGCUUGGUGUUGGGCGACGUCCCCUUUAGGGACGCGCCUCGAAACGCUCGGCGGCGUGGCACCGGCUUUAAGCGUAGCAGAAUCUUUCGCUUUGGAAGUCGGGGCCCCGCCUGCCGGAAUACCUACUCGUAAGGUUGACCUCGGAUCAGGCAGGGAUACCCGCUGAACUUAAGCAUAUCAAUAGCGGAGGA